AUGGACGCCGUUCCUCCAUCCGCGUUUCUGCAGGGCGCGCCCAGGGGUACACAGCCUGAAGGCUGGGGCGAGCUGCCAUGUGAUCUGAUAAGGCGGAUUGUCGAGGAUUAUCUGUCCUGCGGAAUUGACAGGCUACGCCUCUCAUGGAUCAACAGGCACUGGGGCGAAACCAUCCGCGAUAUGAAGCUGCCAGAUCUGCCAUGGAUGCUCCUUCCUUCAACCAGCACUCCGAUGUUUUUUGUACCUGUGACUCGGUGCCUGCACAAGAUCUGGCUUCCGGCUGCACUUAAGAGUGGGAUGCUGUGUGGGUCAUCGGGGCCAUGGAUAUUCAUCAGCCUCGGGUACCCGGAGCGCCAAUUCAUUGUAUACAACCUAUGCAAUGGAGAGAAGAGAGGUCGCAUUGACCUGCCGGUGACGAUACUGGACAAGGAAGGUAUGACUCACGAGGUCUGGGUUGAGAUGGCAGCCCUCUCACGCCCCCCUUCAACCGCUGGGUACACGGUGGCUGCAGUGGUAGGCAUUGGCGAAUCCCUUGUUCACACCAUAGCGACGUGGGAGUCCAAGGAUGAUCACUGGACUGAGAUUGGAACUGUGGAAGAUGGGGUGUUCGACAUGUUGUUCUAUCAGGGCUCCUUCCACUUCCUCACGUCCAAUGAAGAUCUGAUCAGGCUUGUUCCGGAGGGCCUCUCAUUCAGAAUGGAGCGUUAUCAUGUUAAGUUUCGCUCCAGCAAACCGAUUGAUGAUUACUAUGAAGCUCAGGAGAAAGGUUACAUACUGAGUAGGUACCUGGUGGAGUCCACAGCAGGACAUCUUCUGUUUGCCGUGAAAGUUACGCAUGAUAGCAAGAAAACAUUUGAUAUCAAGCUGCUGCGUCUGUCUGUUGACGAUGCCGGCCAAGCCAGGUGGGCCCAUUACAAGAACACAGCCGAUGAAAUGAUUUACCUAGGUCAGGCUUCCUCAGUAUCUUGUGUCAGUCAGGGUGAGCCAACCAUUCAUUUUCUUGAUGACCGUCUGGUGAAGAGCGAGGACGGGGUGGAUCACUACUACAGGUGGGACAUGGGAGGGUUGCAGCCCCAUGUCCUCCAGGUUGGCUGGUACGCUUACCGAACACCAAACGAAGAAUCCCGGUUCUGCUAUCGAGGACCAGACGACAUAGGAGCGACUGACAUACCAACACCAGUUUGGUGCAAGCCCCAGUCUGGUGGUUCUACCACUGACUGA
rnacentral:rRNA from 1 species